GUGGUUCGGUAAUAAAGCUUACAUUCUCCGAGGCAAGAAAUAAUAAUUGUUUUACUAACAAUUAAUAUAUUACAAAUUUGAAUAAUAAAACCUCACUUCCCGUAAUCAAUAAAUGUUCUGUUGCUCUUGUUUUUUUCCUCUGGGCUCUAUCCCUUUCCUCCGAGGAAGGAAACCCAGAUAGGAAGCAUAUAGGGAUCUGUACUGGAUCCGCAUUUGUCACCUACAGGUUGGGUGUAAAAUUUCAACCAAGAAAAAAGGGCUCUCUUAAGGAACAGAAAGAGAUAGUUGGAGGCUUUAAAUAGAGAGGCAGGGUAUAAGUGAUGAAAAAAAGACAGUUAGUGGGAAGAUGAUAAGUCCAAUUAUUUCUACAGUCAGAGCUUUAAAGAGGGAAACAAUGGAUGCAGAAGAGCUUAUACGCAAGUGUGAAGCCAUAACGCUACAAUCAGAAGAAGAUAAUAUGAUCAGCUUUGGGAGGAACAUGAAAGUGAGGGGGGAAAGGCUUGUAGCCCACUGUCUCGUGGGGAAAAUCCUUCAAACACGUAGUGUGCCACGGGAGGGACUAAGGGCUGCAAUGCAGCAAGCAUGGAGAACCACCAAAGAAACAAAAGUGGAGAGUCUAGGAGACAACAUAUUCAUCUUCAAGUUUGCCUCCAAAAGCGAAAAGAAGAGAAUUUUAUUCGGGGGUCCAUGGCAUUUUGAUAGGUCACUAAUGGUAGUAACAGAACCAAUGGGGAUUGGAGAUGUGAAAAAACAAGAUUUCACCCACGCCCCUUUUUGGGUGCAAAUACACAACAUACCCAUUAUGUGCAUGGACAAAGAAAUAAUCCAAGAAAUUGGAGGAAGAAUUGGGAAGGUGCAGGAAGUAAAAACAUAUGAUGUAGGGGAAUGCAUGGGCUCUUUUGUCCGCAUUAGAAUAAUGGUGAAUGUCACAAUGCCAUUGCCAAAAAGACUGCUACUGAAAUUGGAAGAUGGGGGACAAAUUUCAUUAAGAAUAGCCUACGAAAAACUGCCAGAUUUCUGCUUUUGUUGUGGAUUAAUAGGUCACCAGUACAGAGAAUGUCUUGAUUACAAAGGUCAGUCAAAAGAUGAUCUAACGUAUGGAGCUUGGAUGCGAGCUCAAACAAGGGCAGAAAGAGCAAGACAUGCAAGAGACAAGGAUCGUGGGAAUGGAGACAAAGAGCCAUCAAACACAGCACCUGGAAGCCAGGAACAACAGGAACAAAUCCGAAAAAAUACGGGUCGGGCCAAUCCGGAUAAGAGUGGGGGUGGUUCCAAGUCAACCCAAACCAAUAUAGGGACUAGCUCAAAUCCAAUGAGAGAUAGCCAGGUGGAAGAAGUAGGUGGGGGAGCAUUAAAUGGAGAGAGAUUGAAACAAAUUGACUGCAACAAGUUUGCAGCUAAAACAGAGGUGAAGCAGCUACAUAGAGAAGAGAGCACUGUGGAGGGAAAAAUGAAAGAAAAUAAACGGGAAAACAAAUUGUUGGUGGCACAAGGAAUUAUGGACUCAAUGGGCCGAGAAGAAAAUACCAAAGAAAGAGCUAUAGAGGGCCAACAAGAGGGAAGUACGAGCGGAGGUAGACAAAGAGUCAGUCAAAAGUCAAAGGAAAGAAAUGGAAAUUUCAAGCUAGAGAGAGGGCAAUGACGGAAAUGCAAAACAUUGGGCCAGUAUCUUUGAAGAGAAGUAUGACAGAACGGAGGAGCCCAAGCCCAAAAAAUAAAAAAUUAAAAAUGGAAAGCACAAUCAUUUCGUGGGCAAACCAGACUCUUUUCUCCUCCACAUUAGCAGAACUCAGAAUGGGGCGGGAAGAGGAAACACAAAUGGGGAUGCACAUUGAAGAAACGGCAGAAGAAAUGAUAUUGGCGAAGGCUGGCGAACAGCCCCGCCGGCAGCCAUGAAAAUCAUAAGCUGGAACGUUCGAGGUUUGGGGAAUCCCCGGACGCGUCUAGCUAUCAAGAAAAUUCUCCAGCUGCACAAACCUCAAUUACUUUUUAUAUGUGAAACCAAAGUGAGGUCUGGGCAAAUUAAAGAGAUGUGUAGACAGGUAGCCGUAACAAACUUUUUUGCAGUAGACAGUGAGGGGAAAAGCGGAGGCCUAGCCAUGUUAUGGAAUGCAGACACAGAUGUUCAGAUUAACUCAUACAGCAAACACCAUAUAGAUUUUCUAGUUAGGAGUGCUCAAGGGAAGGCUUGGAGGGGUGCAAGGAUAUAUGGGUAUCCGCCAGGCAGUCAAAAGAAACAUACAUGGACUCUUUUAAGAAGAUUGGUAGGUUUGUCUACACUCCUAUGGCUAUGUUUCGGAGAUUUUAAUGAAAUCUUAAAUUUAAAUGAGAAAAGUGGAGGGCUCGAGAGAAAUGUCGGAGCUAUUUAGGAGUUUAGAGAAGCUGUAAGAGAUUGUAAGUUGGCUGAUUUAGGAAGUUAAGGUUAUCUAUUCACAUGGUCCAAUAGGCAAUUCGGAUCACAACUUAUAGAAAAAAAGUUAGAUAGAUUUCUAUGCAACCAAGAAUGGAAGGCUGAAUUUUAUGAUGAUUAUGCCACCAACUUAGUUCAUUGGGAGUCUGACCAUUGUCCAGUAAUGAUGGAGAUUCGGGAGAGGCAAAGAAGCUUGUUGUUUGAGAAAAAAACCUUCUCUAGACUGCAUUAUGAAGACAUGUGGAGCUCGUACGAAGAUUGCAAGAAGAUAGUAAAAAAGGAAUGGCUUCAAUGGCAUAUAAGAAAUGAAGACAGUCCAGCACAGGUCUUUAAAGCAAUAGCUAAAAAGUCAAUGGCUCGGCUGAUUUUAUGGAGCAAAGAAGAGUUUGGAGAGAGGGAUAAGAAGCUAAAAGUGCUGCUGGGAAAGCUUAAGAAAGCUAAGGAGAACCAUGAUCAACUCAAUAGCGGUAGGGAAAUUUGAAAUUUGGAAACGCAAAUUCAGAGGCACUUGAUAGAAGAGGAGGUGUAUUGGAAGCAGAGGUCAAGGGCUGAUUGGUUAAAGGCUGGGGACAAAAACACAAAAUUUUUCCAUGCCAAAGCUUCGUCAAGGAGAAGGAAAAACAAAAUCGAAGGAGUCGAAGAUGAAGCAGGAAAUUGGAUCGGGGAAAAAAGAGAUGUUGCAAGCAGAUUUUGUGAAUAUUUUCAGGAUUUGUUCACUACUUCGAAUCCAAGCACGGAUCAGAUUAAUGCGGCUCUUCAAGGCAUGGCCCCAAAGGUGGAUGCAGCAAUGAACACGCACUUGGAGCAGCCCUUUACAGCCGAAGAAAUUGAAGCAGCUCUUGAUCAAAUGUGUUCGACAAAAGCUCCCGGGCCUGAUGGAUUACAUGCUGUCUUCUUCCAAAAGCAUUGGAAAAAUGUCAGAAAUGGAGUGGUUGCAACAUGUCUUGAUGUGCUAAAUCAGCAAGGUACCAUAGCUCCCCUUAACCAUACAUAUAUUGUUCUUAUUCCCAAAAAUGCAAAGCCUAGGAGAGUCGCAGAAUAUAGGCCCAUCAGUCUCUGCAAUGUCAUAUAUAGAUUGGUUGCUAAAGCCAUUGCCAAUAGAUUGAAAUUAGAGCUCCACAAAAUCAUAUCCCCUGUGCAGAGUGCAUUUGUUCCAAAUAGAUUAAUAACUGAUAAUAUAAUUAUUGAUUAUGAAUGCUUGCACAAAAUCAGACAUAGCAAGGGGAAGAAAAAUAGUUCGGUGGCCUUGAAGCUAGACAUAAGUAAAGCUUACGAUAGAGUAGAGUGGUCUUUUUUGAAGCAUGUUAUGGAGAGGUUAGGUUUUUCCAGCAAAUGGAUAAACCUGAUCAUGAAUUGUAUAACCACUCCCACUUUCUCUGUUGUUAUAAAUGGAGCUGCGAAUGGAUUAAUACAUCCUCAAAGGGGCCUGAGGCAAGGCUGUCCGUUGUCCCCUUACUUAUUCUUGUUAUGUGCCGAGGCUUUUUCAAACUUAUUGAUGCAGACAGAGAGACACAACCUAAUCCACGGCUUGAGAUUUGCAAAAAAUGUCACAAUCUCCCAUCUUUUGUUCGCGGAUGACAACUUAGUUUUCACAAAGGCAGCCGUUGAAGAUUGUAAGCACUUGAAGAAGGUUUUUUAUUGCUAUGCAAUGGCUUCUGGACAGAUCUUUAAUUACGAGAAAUCAUUGAUGUUCUUCAGCAGCAAAAUUCCAGAAGAGUAGAGGGAAAUGAUUAAAAUUAUCUUCAAGCUCAAUGUGGUAUCGAGACACGAAAAGUAUUUGGGCUUACCUUCAAUGGUGGGAAAAAAGAGAACAGGUUUCUUCAAUGACAUGAAACUUAAAGUGCUCAGUAAAAUCUCCAAUUGGCAACACAAGCUCUUUUCGAGUGGGGGAAAGGAAAUUCUCAUCAAGGCUGUAGCUCAAGCAGUACCAGCUUACGCCAUGAGCGUGUUCAAAAUACCUCUAGGAUUGUGCAAUGACAUCCAAAGAGCAAUGGCACGAUUUUGGUGGGGAUCCAAGGAAGACAAGAAGGGAAUUCAUUGGGGAAAAUGGGAGAAAUUGAGCUAUGCCAAAAUCAGAGGGGGGUUGGGCUUCAGGGAUGUUUCAUGCUUUAAUCAAGCUCUUUUAGCAAAACAAGGCUGGAGAUUACUGCAAAAUCUAGAGUCCUUGGUGGCUAAGGUGAUAAAAGCUAGAUACUACAAGAACACAGACUUUUUAAAUGCUAAAGUAGGCUCAAGUCCAUCGUUUAUUUGGAGGAGCAUUUUAUGGGGGAGACAUGUGCUGCAAAAGGGUACGAGGUGGAGGAUAGGAAAUGGAGAGAAAAUACAAAUUCAAGCGAGCAACUGGAUACCUAGGCCAACAACUUUUAAGCCAAUUGUUGAACCCUCCCUGCCUACAAAAGCUAAAGUUUCAGAACUCAUCCUCCCAAAUCAGUAGUAGAACGAAAGUAUGAUCAACCAAAGCUUUGCAAGGAUGGAUGCUGACAUUAUUAAGAGUAUUCUUUUACCGAGAACCCCCCAAGAAGAUGAGAUAAUCUGGCACUAUGAUAGGAAAGGCUUGUACUCAGUAAAGAGUGGUUAUCAAUUAGCGCUCAAGAUUAAGUUUCCCGAGCCACCAACAAGUUCUGUAGGAGCUUCACAGAAGUGGCAGAACCUAUGGAAGCUGAACUUGCCAGGGAAAUUAAAAUUUUUGUGUGGAAAGCAGCCAAAAAUUUCCUUCCAACAGCCGAAAACCUUUGGAGGAGGAAAAUACUGCAAGAACCAAUAUGUGCAAUCUGUAAAGAGGGAAGAGAAGACGUAUUCCGUGCUCUUAUAGAAUACAAAUUGGCUAGGAAAAUAUGGAGAUGCACUGAUCUGGAGGAUGCAGUACAGACAAUAAGGAGGGAUGAUAUGCUGAGUACUAUGCACAGUCUAAUGAGGAAGGGGGCCAAGUCUGAGAUUGAUUAUGUUGCAUCUAUCUGGCGGGCGACGUGGCACGCAAGGAACAAAUUACUCUUUGAGGGGAAAAAGCCAGAUCCAAGGGAGACAGUGGCCAAGGCCAAAGCAAUUGUGGUCACGUAUCAGGCAAUGCAAUUUAAAGAGCAAGAGAGUCCAAGAAGCAUAAAGGAAAAGAAGGUGCAAAGAUGGAAUCCACCACCUAGUUCCAAGUUGAAAAUCAAUGUUGAUGCGGCGGUGCAUGCAGAGAGUCAAAUGGCAGGCUUAGGGGCUGUGAUCAGAAACUCGCAAGGUCAAGUGGUAGUUGCAGCUGUGAAAAGCAUUAAUUUUCAAGGAGAUGUCUCGAUAGCAGAAGCCAAACUGUCCAAUGGGGGAUGGAGGUGGCCAGAAAAGCUAGCUUCACAAAUGUGAUUGUCGAAACUGAUUGCAGCAUGGUGGCUGACUUAGCCAACAACAAAGUCAGCAACAAAAUAGAGAUAUGGUGGACGAUAGCAGAAAUUCAAAGCAGCUAGCAAGACUUCCAAUCGAUAGAUUUCCAGCAUGUACCAAGACAAUGUAAUACUAGUGCUCACUCUCUAGCCAAAAGAGCUUUAAAAAGCUCAGAUUCUGUCUUCUAGCGGGAUGAAUUCCCAGCCGAUGUUUUGUGCUUGUUUGAUGGCUUUAAUUAAUUGAAAGAAUUAAUUUAUUCUAAAAAAAAAAACCUCACUUCCCAAAUAUCCAAACAUACCUAGUACUCUCACACACUUGUGAAGGAAACAAUUUCCCCAAGACACAUUCUCAAACAUCUCUACAAAUACUGUAGAACCCAACUGAGUACCCAUGGAAAUGGUCUUCCAAACUUUCUAAGAACUCACUUGUAGAUACUCCCUCUCUCUGAACUCUCUUUGCACUCCUUAGAGAGCUCACCACUUAAACUCUCACACACUAC
rnacentral:lncRNA from 1 species